AGAAUCAACGCUGGCGGCGUGCCUAACACAUGCAAGUCGAACGAGAAAGUGGAGCAAUCCAUGAGUAAAGUGGCGACCGGGUGAGUAACACGUGACUAACCUACCUUCGAGUGGGGGAUAACCUCGGGAAACCGAGGCUAAUACCGCAUAACAUCGCAAGAUCAAAGCAGCAAUGCGCUGGAAGAGGGGGUCGCGGCUGAUUAGCUAGUUGGCGGGGUAACGGCCCACCAAGGCGAAGAUCGGUAGCCGGCCUGAGAGGGCGCACGGCCACACUGGAACUGAAACACGGUCCAGACUCCUACGGGAGGCAGCAGUGGGGAAUUUUGCGCAAUGGGGGAAACCCUGACGCAGCAACGCCGCGUGGAGGAUGAAGCCCCUUGGGGCGUAAACUCCUUUCGACCAAGACGAUAAUGACGGUACUGGUGGAAGAAGCACCGGCUAACUCUGUGCCAGCAGCCGC
rnacentral:rRNA from 1 species